UACGUAGGGUGCGAGCGUUGUCCGGAAUUAUUGGGCGUAAAGAGCUCGUAGGCGGUCUGUCGCGUCGAUCGUGAAAACUUGGGGCUUAACCCUGAGCUUGCGGUCGAUACGGGCAUGACUGGAGUUCGGCAGGGGAGACUGGAAUUCCUGGUGUAGCGGUGAAAUGCGCAGAUAUCAGGAGGAACACCGGUGGCGAAGGCGGAUCUCUAGUACGGUACUGACGCUGAGACGCGAAAGCGUGGGGAGCGAACAGG
rnacentral:rRNA from 1 species